AGAGUUUGAUCAUGGCUCAGAACGAACGCUGGCGGCGUGGAUAAGACAUGCAAGUCGAACGCUUGUUCCGGAGUAGCAAUAUUUCGGGGCAGGAGUGGCGCAAGGGUGCGUAACACGUGGGUCAUUUGCCGCGAAGUUGGGAACAACUCGUUGAAAGACGAGCUAAUGCCCGAUGUGCCCUUCCGAGGUUCGCUCCGGGACGGCAAAGCCGGGGACCGAAAGGCCUGGCGCUUCGCGAUAAGCCCGCGGCCUAUCAGCUAGUUGGCGGGGUAACGGCCCACCAAGGCUAAGACGGGUAGCUGGUCUGAGAGGACGACCAGCCACACUGGAACUGAGACACGGUCCAGACACCUACGGGUGGCAGCAGUCGAGAAUUUUUCACAAUGGGCGAAAGCCUGAUGGAGCGACGCCGCGUGGGGGAUGAAGGGCUUCGGCUCGUAAACCCCUGUCAUUUGCGAACAAAGGCGCCAGCCUAAUACGUUGUCACCUGAUAGUAGCAGAAGAGGAAGGGACGGCUAACUCUGUGCCAGCAGCCGCGGUAAUACAGAGGUCCCAAGCGUUGUUCGGAUUUACUGGGCGUAAAGGGUGCGUAGGUGGUGGACUAAGUCGGGUGUGAAAUCUCCGGGCUCAACCCGGAGCAUGCGUCCGAAACUGGGCCGCUCGAGGAUGGGAGGGGAGACUGGAAUUCUCGGUGUAGCAGUGAAAUGCGUAGAUAUCGAGAGGAACACCGGUGGCGAAGCGAGUCUCUGGACCAUUCCUGACACUGAGGCACGAAAGCCGGGGGAGCAAACAGGAUUAGAUACCCUGGUAGUCCCGGCCCUAAACUGUGCGCAUUUGCUGUGGGCGGAAUCGACCCCGCCCGUGGCGAAGCUACGCGUUAAUGCGCCGCCUGGGAGUACGGCGCAAGGUUAAAACUCAAGAAAUUGACGGGGG
rnacentral:rRNA from 1 species